rnacentral:tRNA from 1 species
CCCACGAAAGCUCACCUAGUAGCACUAAGCUUUUAACUUAGUGGAGGGUAUACUUUUACCUCGAGGGA